UACGUAGGGGGCAAGCGUUGUCCGGAUUUAUUGGGCGUAAAGAGCGUGUAGGCGGCUUUACAGGUCCGUUGUGAAAACUCGAGGCUCAACCUCGAGACGCCGGUGGAAACCGUAAGGCUAGAGUCCGGAAGAGGAGAGUGGAAUUCCCGGUGUAGCGGUGAAAUGCGCAGAUAUCGGGAAGAACACCCGUGGCGAAGGCGGCUCUCUGGGACGGUACUGACGCUGAGACGCGAAAGCGUGGGGAGCAAACAGG
rnacentral:rRNA from 1 species